rnacentral:rRNA from 1 species
GCUGGCGGCGUGCCUAUACAUGCAAGUAGAACGCUGAAGGAGGAGCUUGCUUCUCCGGAUGAGUUGCGAACGGGUGAGUAACGCGUAGGUAACCUGCCUGGUAGCGGGGGAUAACUAUUGGAAACGAUAGCUAAUACCGCAUAAUAGUAGAUGUUGCAUGACAUUUGCUUAAAAGGUGCAAUUGCAUCACUACCAGAUGGACCUGCGUUGUAUUAGCUAGUUGGUGGGGUAACGGCUCACCAAGGCGACGAUACAUAACCGACCUGAGAGGGUGAUCGGCCACACUGGGACUGAGACACGGCCCAGACUCCUACGGGAGGCAGCAGUAGGGAAUCUUCGGCAAUGGACGGAAGUCUGACCGAGCAACGCCGCGUGAGUGAAGAAGGUUUUCGGAUCGUAAAGCUCUGUUGUAAGAGAAGAACGAGUGUGAGAGUGGAAAGUUCACACUGUGACGGUAUCUUACCAGAAAGGGACGGCUAACUACGU